GUUGUUGGGUAGGGGAGCGUUCUGUAAGCCGUUGAAGGUGACCUGUGAGGGUUGCUGGAGGUAUCAGAAGUGCGAAUGCUGACAUAAGUAACGAUAAUGCGGGUGAAAAACCCGCACGCCGGAAGACCAAGGGUUCCUGUCCAACGUUAAUCGGGGCAGGGUGAGUCGACCCCUAAGGCGAGGCUGAAAAGCGUAGUCGAUGGGAAACAGGUUAAUAUUCCUGUACUUGGUGUUACUGCGAAGGGGGGACGGAGAAGGCUAGGCUGGCCGGGCGACGGUUGUCCCGGUUUAAGCGUGUAGGGGGAGUGACCAGGUAAAUCCGGUUGCUUAUCAACCCUGAGGCGUGAUGACGAUGCACCACGGUGCAGAAGCAGUUGAUGCCAUGCUUCCAGGAAAAGCCUCUAAGCAUCAGGUAACAUUAAAUCGUACCCCAAACCGACACAGGUGGUCAGGUAGAGAAUACUCAGGCGCUUGAGAGAACUCGGGUGAAGGAACUAGGCAAAAUGGUGCCGUAACUUCGGGAGAAGGCACGCUGGCGUUAGGUGAAAGGACUAGCUCCUGGAGCUGAAGCCAGUCGCAGAUACCAGCUGGCUGCAACUGUUUAAUAAAAACACAGCACUGUGCAAACACGAAAGUGGACGUAUACGGUGUGACGCCUGCCCGGUGCUGGAAGGUUAAUUGAUGGGGUCAGCCGCAAGGCGAAGCUCUUGAUCGAAGCCCCAGUAAACGGCGGCCGUAACUAUAACGGUCCUAAGGUAGCGAAAUUCCUUGUCGGGUAAGUUCCGACCUGCACGAAUGGCGUAAUGAUGGCCAGGCUGUCUCCACCCGAGACUCAGUGAAAUUGAACUCGCUGUGAAGAUGCAGUGUACCCGCGGCAAGACGGAAAGACCCCGUGAACCUUUACUAUAGCUUGACACUGAACAUUGAGCCUUGAUGUGUAGGAUAGGUGGGAGGCCUUGAAGUGUGGACGCCAGUCUGCAUGGAGCCAACCUUGAAAUACCACCCUUUAAUGUUUGAUGUUCUAACUCGGCCCCAUGAUCUGGGG
rnacentral:rRNA from 1 species